UACGUAGGUGGCAAGCGUUAUCCGGAAUUAUUGGGCGUAAAGCGCGCGCAGGUGGUCUCUUAAGUCUGAUGUGAAAGCCCACGGCUCAACCGUGGAGGGUCAUUGGAAACUGGGAGACUUGAGUGCAGAAGAGGAAAGUGGAAUUCCAUGUGUAGCGGUGAAAUGCGUAGAGAUAUGGAGGAACACCAGUGGCGAAGGCGACUUUCUGGUCUGUAACUGACACUGAGGCGCGAAAGCGUGGGGAGCAAACAGGAUUAGAUACCCGUGUAGUCC
rnacentral:rRNA from 1 species